GACGAACGCUGGCGGCGUGCUUAACACAUGCAAGUCGAACGGAAAGGCCCAGCUUGCUGGGUGCUCGAGUGGCGAACGGGUGAGUAACACGUGGGUGAUCUGCCCCUAACUUCGGGAUAAGCUUGGGAAACUGGGUCUAAUACCGGAUAGGACAAUCGUUUAGUGUCGGUUGUGGAAAGUUUUUUCGGUUAGGGAUGAGCCCGCGGCCUAUCAGCUUGUUGGUGGGGUAAUGGCCUACCAAGGCGUUGACGGGUAGCCGGCCUGAGAGGGUGGACGGCCACAUUGGGACUGAGAUACGGCCCAGACUCCUACGGGAGGCAGCAGUGGGGAAUAUUGCACAAUGGGCGCAAGCCUGAUGCAGCGACGCCGCGUGGGGGAUGACGGCCUUCGGGUUGUAAACCUCUUUCGACAGGGACGAAGCUUUGGUGACGGUACCUGUAUAAGAAGCACCGGCUAACUACGUG
rnacentral:rRNA from 1 species